rnacentral:snRNA from 1 species
AUCGCUUCUCCGCCUUUUGGCUAAGAUCAAGUGU